UACGUAGGGUGCGAGCGUUAAUCGGAAUUACUGGGCGUAAAGCGUGCGCAGGCGGUGCACCAAGCUUGAUGUGAAAGCCCCGGGCUUAACCUGGGAAUUGCAUUGAGGACUGGUGUGCUCGAGUGCGGCAGAGGGGGGUGGAAUUCCACGUGUAGCAGUGAAAUGCGUAGAGAUGUGGAGGAACACCGAUGGCGAAGGCAGCCCCCUGGGCCGACACUGACGCUCAGGCACGAAAGCGUGGGGAGCAAACAGG
rnacentral:rRNA from 1 species